rnacentral:tRNA from 1 species
GGCAGUGUGGUAUAGUGGUUAGGAGUGUUGGACUAGCAUCUGGAAGACCCAGGUUCAAAUCCUGACUAGUGCCG